rnacentral:rRNA from 1 species
UACGUAGGGUGCAAGCGUUGUCCGGAAUUAUUGGGCGUAAAGAGCUCGUAGGCGGUCUGUCGCGUCUGCUGUGAAAACCCGGGGCUCAACUCCGGGCUUGCAGUGGAUACGGGCAGACUAGAGUUCGGUAGGGGAGACUGGAAUUCCUGGUGUAGCGGUGAAAUGCGCAGAUAUCAGGAGGAACACCGGUGGCGAAGGCGGGUCUCUGGGCCGAUACUGACGCUGAGGAGCGAAAGCGUGGGGAGCGAGCAGG